rnacentral:rRNA from 2 species
GACCCCAGGUCAGGCGGGGCUACCCGCUGAGUUUAAGCAUAUCAAUAAGCGGAGGAAAG